GUCGCCCAGUGGGUCCUCUUUUGCCCGGGACGCCUGGCUCUCCCUUUGGUCCUUGUUCUCCCUGUGAGAAGAGUAGGACAACAUAGGAGGAGAAAUCCACUUCCAAGGGCUAGCGAGAUGGAUCAGGAAGAGAUGAGCCGAUGACUUACGGAAAGUGAGAAGUGGCUCACCUUUGACCCCGGACGCCCAAUUUCUCCCUGAGAAGCACAAACGAGGGCGAGAAGAGAUUUUGCUCUCAUGAGAGUAACCGCACACGUGCAUCAAGAAGUGACACAAGUGGACCAGAAAAAUGCACCUUUUCCCCUUUUGGUCCUCUUAUGCCAGGUGGGCAAGGGGCCUCCCCACCUCUGGGCCACGGGGUCCUGGUGCUCCUGGUGGCCCAGCUGGGCAACCCGGAUGUUCAUUUUGCUGCUCCUCUCCUCGAAACACUGCUGGCGCUGAUGUGCCGCCACCGUCCUAAAAAACGGGAAAGCGUCACAUGAAGCCUUUCAUGCACCCUGUUUGCCUUGCUUCCAGAGCUGAGGUGGUGGCGGCGGGUAGAGCGGAGGAGGAGGUGGCGACGUCAGACAACAUGGCUGAAACUUGAUUGGUUUAUCCGGCAAGGUGACGACUGCCAGGAAAACGUGGAAGUCACGUUUCGC